rnacentral:rRNA from 1 species
GACGAACGCUGGCGGCGUGCCUAAUACAUGCAAGUAGAACGCUGAAGCGAGGAGCUUGCUCUUCUUGGAUGAGUUGCGAACGGGUGAGUAACGCGUAGGUAACCUGCCUUGUAGCGGGGGAUAACUAUUGGAAACGAUAGCUAAUACCGCAUAACAAUGGAUGACACAUGUCGUUUAUUUGAAAGGGGCAAUUGCUCCACUACAAGAUGGACCUGCGUUGUAUUAGCUAGUAGGUGAGGUAACGGCUCACCUAGGCGACGAUACAUAGCCGACCUGAGAGGGUGAGCGGCCACCCUGGGACUGAGACAGGGCCCAGACUCCUACGGGAGGCAGCAGUAGGGAAUCGUCGGCAAUGGGGGCAACCCUGACCGCGCAACGCCGCGGGAUGGAAGAAGGUUGUCGGAUCGUAAAGCUCUGUUGUAAGUCAAGAACGAGUGUGAGAGUGGAAAGUUCACACUGUGACGGUAGCGUACCAGAAAGGGACGGCUAACUACGUG